rnacentral:rRNA from 1 species
UACGUAGGUGACAAGCGUUGUCCGGAUUUACUGGGCGUAAAGAGCGCGCAGGCGGUCGAUCAAGUCGAGUGUGAAAGCCCCCGGCUCAACUGGGGAGGGUCAUUCGAUACUGAUCGACUCGAAGGCAGGAGAGGGUAGUGGAAUUCCCGGUGUAGUGGUGAAAUGCGUAGAUAUCGGGAGGAACACCAGUGGCGAAGGCGGCCGCCUGGACCUGACCUGACGCUGAGGCGCGAAGGCGCGGGGAGCGAACGGG